rnacentral:tRNA from 2 species
GGCAGGGUAGCUCAGUUGGUUAGAGCACAGGACUCAUAAGCCUGGGGUCACGAGUUCAAAUCUCGUCCCUGCUACCA